rnacentral:rRNA from 1 species
CCUACGGGAGGCAGCAGUGGGGAAUUGUUCGCAAUGGGCGCAAGCCUGACGACGCAACGCCGCGUGGAGGAUGAAGGUCUUCGGAUUGUAAACUCCUGUCGAACGGGACGAACACCUUUUCAGUUAACACCUGGAGAGGCUGACGGUACCGUGAGAGGAAGCCCCGGCUAACUCUGUGCCAGCAGCCGCGGUAAUACAGAGGGGGCAAGCGUUGCUCGGAAUUACUGGGCGUAAAGGGCGCGUAGGCGGCCUUCUAAGUCAGACGUGAAAUCCCUCGGCUCAACCGGGGAACUGCGUCUGAGACUGGAAGGCUUGAAUCCGGGAGAGGGAUGUGGAAUUCCAGGUGUAGCGGUGAAAUGCGUAGAUAUCUGGAGGAACACCGGUGGCGAAGGCGGCAUCCUGGACCGGUAGUGACGCUGAGGCGCGAAAGCCAGGGGAGCAAACAGGAUUAGAUACCCCGGUAGUC